rnacentral:rRNA from 1 species
GACAGAGGGUGCAAACGUUGUUCGGAAUUACUGGGCGUAAAGCGCGUGUAGGCGGCCAUCUAAGUCGGGCGUGAAAUCCCACGGCUCAACCGUGGAAGUGCACUCGAAACUGGAUGGCUAGAGUCCUGGAGAGGAAGGUGGAAUGCUUGGUGUAGAGGUGAAAUUCGUAGAUAUCAAGCGGAACACCGGUGGCGAAGGCGGCCUUCUGGACAGUGACUGACACUGAGGCGCGACAGCGUGGGGAGCAAACAGG